rnacentral:lncRNA from 10 species
CAAAAGAGGGUAGUAGUGGUUGUGGGGUAGAAAGUGACUUGAGUGGGGUGAUAGCUUACAUGGUAAGUGUCAUUUGAACCAAGGCCUGAGACAAGAAGGAAAUUGGCUGUGCCAAGAACUAAGCAUUCUAGACAAAGAAAAGAGAAGAUUCAGAAGAUAGAAAUAAACUUGGCAGUUGGAAGAACAUAAAGAAGUCCCAGGAGGCUGAAAGAUGGAGUGGAAGCAGCCUGUGGCCCUCGCCAGAUGCAGAUGCCCAAUCUUGAACUUUUCCAGACAUCAUGAGCCAAAUAA